CAGUAGCCGCGGGAAUACGGAGGGUGCAAGCGUUAAUCGGAAUUACUGGGCGUAAAGCGCACGCAGGCGGUUUGUUAAGUCAGAUGUGAAAUCCCCGAGCUUAACUUGGGAACUGCAUUUGAAACUGGCAAGCUAGAGUCUUGUAGAGGGGGGUAGAAUUCCAGGUGUAGCGGUGAAAUGCGUAGAGAUCUGGAGGAAUACCGGUGGCGAAGGCGGCCCCCUGGACAAAGACUGACGCUCAGGUGCGAAAGCGUGGGGAGCAAACAGGAUUAGAUACCCCAUAGUCCCUGUCUCUUAUACA
rnacentral:rRNA from 1 species